UGCUUGAAAGGGAAGGACUAGGGUGACUGUCAAGAGAUAUUUGGCAGUUUUUUCGUCUUGUCGUGACUUCAGCACUAGCAUCCAGCCCCAACUUUACUCAUGGAUACGAUUAUAGAUUAUAAAACACAAGAAUUUCUGUUUUUCAUAAUUAUAAUCUCUUGGACUUUCCUGCUCCUGCUUUUAAUAAUAUUCUUCAUACAGCUAUGCAUCGCUUUCUUCCUUUCUUUUCGGAGACGACAGAUUCAUUCCCGCUUUCGCUAAACAGAAUGUGGUCAUAUACCAACAGCUUUGCAAGGAAAAUUUCCAAAUGACAAGACUCACAGGCAAACAAUUAUGAAAUCUGAAUAAAAAGAUCUCACCAUCA